rnacentral:tmRNA from 1 species
GGGUUAGUAAAGGUUUCGACAGGGGUCUUGCAGGUGGAGAAGCUAUCCGACGCUGAUCGUUAAACAGCAAACUUAAAUAUAAACGCUAAGAAUAAUACUUUAGCACUGGCAGCCUGAGUGCUGCUCGUCGCCCGGCUGGUACCUGUGACGGCCGGAUACGGCGUCGACUUUACAGGAAACGACACAGCGACCGCCUCGCAACUGUGGGCGUAACAGAGGAUACCGGAGAGUCGGGAAGUCUGUUCUCCUGACUCCGAGGGAAACGGGUAACCGAAACAGCAGACUAUGAUAGUAGAAGUACACUGAAUGGGUCUUUGGACAGGGGUUCGAUUCCCCUCUAAUCCACGA